rnacentral:misc_RNA from 1 species
UAUUCUCAUCUUAAUUCGUUCUAAAUUUUGCACAUGUACUAGCUUAUACUUUAUUUUUUCCAUUUGGUCUUUGUCUACCUGCAUUUGCUUAUACUGUUUACAUCUGUUUUGCUUUGGGGAGUUUAUUGCAUGCCUACUUGUUGUCUUGCAUUGAGGAUUGGCAAUUGCGGGACAAUAUUCAUAGAAACUUAUUUAAAAUAUUUUCUUGUGGCCAGAAAUUCUUAUCCUAGAAUAAUUUUUUACUUUAACUCACAUUUCGUAGUAUUUCAGCACUGUCAUUAUUGAGGAAGAAUUUGUUGUCAUCUUUCCAAUAAAAGUUUCAUGUUUGCAUUUCAUUUUGAUGUACUUAACAAAUUUUGUUGCUGGGGAGUAAUAGAGGUAAUUCCGGUUGUCUGAUUCAAGUUUUCAAAUUUCUAUCAAGUUAUCAUGGUUGAAUAAGGAUU